UUUGUUCCAGAGACCAGUUUCUGAAGAGAAAACUAACAAAGGAAUGGAAUUGAUCGAAUGAUGCACACAAGCAGCUUGGGAGAAGGAAGCAUGUUGAACUUCAAAUUUUCUGAUGGAGUUCAGAGUUCUUUAAAAAAGGAUCGCAGUAACUUAAUUCCUCUCUGAGAGCAAAGAGCAUUAGAGUUAGCAGACUCUGAGGAUCUACGAACUUCUGUGUACAGUAAGAUCAUAUUUCAAACAAAUCUAUGAUUGGAGUUUGUCGUCAGAGCUACCGAGUUUCUAAUCUUCCUGGUAUU